rnacentral:misc_RNA from 1 species
UGUAGAUAUACAUCGAGCGAUGCAUUUGAGGGUGAUGGGCGAAGAGAAGAACGGGCUGGACCAAAACACAAGCCGAUAAACAGCAUCAACAAGCUAAAUAACAUGGUUAAACAAUCCACUGGUGAUAGAGCUACACGAGUGCAGCGUUGAACUUGCACUGAUUAAUAUAACGAACAGUCUAGCGCUCGUUCAAGGUAUAUGCUGAUACACACGUGUGGAAGUUUAAGAGCGCGACGAUAACACAUAUACCACUACAAGGCUCAUUAUUGCAACUUGAACAACGACUUCGUCAAAUAAAGGAAUUCUACGAAGAGUAUGCUACAAAGGGAAAGAAAGAUUUACUUAACCUCAAGAGAAGAACCUCGGAGCAGUAACUGAAUAUCUUGUCCGAAGAUCUGAACUAUUUUCCAAAAGAGACAUUUAAAAAUUAUC